rnacentral:rRNA from 1 species
GCAGUCUGCAACUCGACUGCAUGAAGUCGGAAUCGCUGUAAUCGCAGAUCAGCAAAGCUGCGGUGAAUACGUUCCCGGGCCCUUGUACACACCGCCCGUCACACCAUGAGAGUCGAUAACACCCGAAGCCUGUGAGCUAACCUUUCAGGAGGCAGCAGUCGAAGGUGGGGUUGAUGAUUGGGGUGAAGUCGUAACAAGGUACC